GCCAAGAGGCCAAGGAAAUCAGCCACGUACUAAUGGCUGACAAACACCUUUCUUGUAGCAGCCUCUGUGUCGACGUGUGGAGAUGCUGAAAAAUGAUGCGCGGUGGCAGAAGGCGCGGUGCCGAACAGGUGGAGAUAUUGCCGGCGAAAAGUGAGAGGAAGUGCUGAAAGGGAGAAAUAAAACAGGACAGAUGCCGCAGAUGUGGCCCGUCGGUGAUGCAAUCCAGCGUGGAAGUGAAGUAACUCUGGCCAUAGCAGCCGACGCUGCAAACUUCAUGCACUGACUGUACACGAGGCUGUGGAAAUGUCAGAAUAAAGUUGUUCUGU